GCCCUCGUGGAUGAAGAGGUACAUCACUCGUUCAGUAUUCAAUAUCUCUAUUUAGUGGAUGCAAAUGGGAAGUGGGGGUUCGAGUCCCCCCGAGGGCA